AUUGAACGCUGGCGGCAGGCCUAACACAUGCAAGUCGAACGGUAACAGGAAGAAGCUUGCUUCUUUGCUGACGAGUGUCGGACGGGUGAGUAAUGUCUGGGAAACUGCCUGAUGGAGGGGGAUAACUACUGGAAACGGUAGCUAAUACCGCAUAACGUCGCAAGACCAAAGAGGGGGACCUUCGGGCCUCUUGCCAUCGGAUGUGCCCAGAUGGGAUUAGCUAGUAGGUGGGGUAACGGCUCACCUAGGCGACGAUCCCUAGCUGGUCUGAGAGGAUGACCAGCCACACUGGAACUGAGACACGGUCCAGACUCCUACGGGAGGCAGCAGUGGGGAAUAUUGCACAAAGGGCGCAAGCCUGAUGCAGCCAUGCCGCGUGUAUGAAGAAGGCCUUCGGGUUGUAAAGUACUUUCAGCGGGGAGGAAGGGAGUAAAGUUAAUACCUUUGCUCAUUGACGUUACCCGCAGAAGAAGCACCGGCUAACUCCGUG
rnacentral:rRNA from 1 species